rnacentral:rRNA from 1 species
GAUGAACGCUGGCGGCGUGCCUAAUACAUGCAAGUCGAGCGAACAGACGAGGAGCUUGCUCCUCUGACGUUAGCGGCGGACGGGUGAGUAACACGUGGAUAACCUACCUAUAAGACUGGGAUAACUUCGGGAAACCGGAGCUAAUACCGGAUAAUAUAUUGAACCGCAUGGUUCAAUAGUGAAAGACGGUUUUGCUGUCACUUAUAGAUGGAUCCGCGCUGCAUUGGCUAGUUGGUAAGGUAACGGCUUACCAAGGCAACGAUGCGUAGCCGAACUGAGAGGGUGAUCGGCCACACUGGAACGGAGACACGGUCCAGACUCCUACGGGAGGCAGCAGUAUGGAAUCUGCCGCAAUAGGCGAAAGCCUGACGGAGCAACGCCGCGUGAGUGAUGGAGGUCUUCGGAUCGUAAAACUCUGUUAUUAGGGAAGAACAAAUGUGUAAGUAACUAUGCACGUCUUGACGGUACCUAAUCAGAAAGCCACGGCUAACUACGUG